rnacentral:rRNA from 1 species
GACGAACGCUGGCGGCGUGCUUAACACAUGCAAGUCGAACGGUGAAAGCGGAGCUUGCUCCGCUGGAUCAGUGGCGAACGGGUGAGUAACACGUGGGCAACCUGCCCCUCACUUCGGGAUAACUCCGGGAAACCGGGGCUAAUACCGGAUAUGACCUCCCUGGGCAUCCUUGGAGGUGGAAAGUUUUUCGGUGAGGGAUGGGCCCGCGGCCUAUCAGCUUGUUGGUGAGGUAGUGGCUCACCAAGGCGACGACGGUUAGCCGGCCUGAGAGGGCGACCGGCCACACUGGGCCUGCGACACGGCCCAGACGCCUACGGGAGGCAGCAGUGGGGAAUAUUGCGCAAUGGGCGAAAGCCUGACGCAGCAGCGCCGCGUGUGGGAUGACGGCCUUCGGGUUGUAAACCGCUUUCAGCAGGGAAGAAGCCGCAAGGUGACGGUACCUGCAGAAGAAGCACCGGCUAACUACGUGCCAGCAGCCGCCGUAA